rnacentral:rRNA from 1 species
UACGUAGGGGGGCAAGCGUUGUCCGGAUUUAUUGGGCGUAAAGAGCGUGUAGGCGGCCAUACAGGUCAGCUGUGAAAACUCGAGGCUCAACCUCGAGACGUCGGGUUGAAACCGUAUGGCUAGAGUCCGGAAGAGGAGAAUGGAAUUCCCGGUGUAGCGGUGAAAUGCGCAGAUAUCGGGAAGAACACCCGUGGCGAAGGCG